CUGGCGGCGUGCUUCAUACAUGCAAGUCGAACGAGAAUCUGGCUUCGGUCAGAGGAAAGUGGCGGACGGGUGAGUAAUGUGUAGAGAAUCUGCCCUUAGUGGGGACAACAGUUGGAAACGACUGCUAAUACCCCAUAUGCGCGUAGCUGAGAUGCUAUUCGUGAAAACUCCGGUGCUAAAGGAUGAGUCUGCAUCUGAUUAGCUAGUUGGCGGUGUAAUGGACCACCAAGGCGACGAUCAGUAGCUGGUUUGAGAGGAUGAUCAGCCACAAUGGGACUGAGACACGGCCCAUACUCCUACGGGAGGCAGCAGUAGGGAAUUUUGCGCAAUGGGGGAAACCCUGACGCAAGCAACGCCGCGUGAUUGAAUAAGCCCUUCGGGGUGUAAAGAUCUGUCAGUAGGGACGAAACUUGACGGUACCUACAGAGGAAGCAUCGGCUAACUCCGUGCCAGCCGCUGC
rnacentral:rRNA from 1 species